GUCGAACGCUGGCGGCGUGCUUAACACAUGCAAGUCGAACGGAAAGGCCCUGCUUUUGUGGGGUGCUCGAGUGGCGAACGGGUGAGUAACACGUGAGUAACCUGCCCUUGACUUUGGGAUAACUUCAGGAAACUGGGGCUAAUAUCGGAUAGGAGCUCCUGCUGCAUGGUGGGGGUUGGAAAGUUUCGGCGGUUGGGGAUGGACUCGCGGCUUAUCAGCUUGUUGGUGGGGUAGUGGCUUACCAAGGCUUUGACGGGUAGCCGGCCUGAGAGGGUGACCGGCCACAUUGGGACUGAGAUACGGCCCAGACUCCUACGGGAGGCAGCAGUGGGGAAUAUUGCACAAUGGGCGGAAGCCUGAUGCAGCAACGCCGCGUGCGGGAUGACGGCCUUCGGGUUGUAAACCGCUUUCGCCUGUGACGAAGCGUGAGUGACGGUAAUGGGUAAAGAAGCACCGGCUAACUACGUG
rnacentral:rRNA from 1 species